UGGGGAAUUUUGGACAAUGGGCGAAAGCCUGAUCCAGCAAUGCCGCGUGUGUGAAGAAGGCCUUCGGGUUGUAAAGCACUUUUGUCCGGAAAGAAAUCCUUGGCUCUAAUACAGUCGGGGGAUGACGGUACCGGAAGAAUAAGCACCGGCUAACUACGUGCCAGCAGCCGCGGUAAUACGUAGGGUGCAAGCGUUAAUCGGAAUUACUGGGCGUAAAGCGUGCGCAGGCGGUUUGCUAAGACCGAUGUGAAAUCCCCGGGCUCAACCUGGGAACUGCAUUGGUGACUGGCAGGCUAGAGUAUGGCAGAGGGGGGUAGAAUUCCACGUGUAGCAGUGAAAUGCGUAGAGAUGUGGAGGAAUACCGAUGGCGAAGGCAGCCCCCUGGGCCAAUACUGACGCUCAUGCACGAAAGCGUGGGGAGCAAACAGGAUUAGAUACCCCCGGUAGGUCCACGCCCUAAACGAUGUCAACUAGUUGUUGGGGAUUCAUUUCCUUAGUAACGUAGCUAACGCGUGAAGUUGACCGCCUGGGGAGUACGGUCGCAAGAUUAAAACUUAAAUGAAUUGACGGGGUCAUAGCUGUUUCCU
rnacentral:rRNA from 1 species